rnacentral:lncRNA from 1 species
UGAAAUGUUGUCUAAUUGAGAAACUUUUACUUGUUCAAAGUUGUUAUCUCAAGAGUUGUCUUCUUGUUAGACAAAUUUCUAAACUCCUCCUAGUAUUGUUGGCCUAACCUCACUCUAGAAACUAAGUGUUGGCCUAACCUCACUUAGAUAUACCGACAUAAUUUUUUAUCUCUUCCAAAAAUUUUACAAUUCUUCAUGCUUCCGCAAUAGUGUUCAUCAUCCGUAUAAGAUAUUCAAAUCAAAACAAUGAAGAAGAUCUACAAAUGAAGAUGCAAGUUAGGAUUGCAUCAUUUGGUAUCAGAGCUUUGGUUUAAGAGAUAAGUAGCUCCUUCUUCUAUUUCUUUUUUAAUUUCGUGUUGGUCAUAGUUUUUCUUGAUUGUAUUGAAUAUUUAUUGAUUUAUUUUGUGUUUUUCUAUCUUUUGUUUGGUUUAAAUUCAUUGUUCUUACUUUCGUGUAUUCAUGUUCAUUUGUCUUUUGAAUUUUCUUAAAAUUUGUUCGGUCAAAUUUUCUUAUAAUUGAGUGAUGUUUAGUCUAAAAUUUGUCAUAAACUUCAUGAACUCUUCAGUGUUUUUGUUUUCAUUUCUGAGUUCAUAAAUUGUUAUUAGAUCAUUAGCAAUAGCAAUUUUCUUUAAAGUUGGGUUUCAUUAUCAUCUCCAAAAUUCAUUUUCGAAAAUUUUCCGAAAAGUUUUUGUGGUUCAAAAAGAUAUUCAGAGGUAUGAACAGUAAUCCAGAUCUGUUUUUGGAAUUUCUUGGAAGUUUUUGGUUUCGUGUUCAUCCGGUUGAUAAUAUACUUGAACUUUUGCCGCGAUUUUUGAUUUGGAUCUAACGAAUAGAGUCAAAUUCCUCUUCCGCUUUCUUUUCGGAAAACCUUGGUUCUGUGUUUUGUUAUUGUGACUGCGGAUCGCAAAUUUCCACAAUCGACUUGCUACCUCAAGGCCUCGAAGUUUCUUCAGAAACAGAUUGUGGUGAUUUUUUCCAUCUUCAAAGGAAAACAUCAGUUGCCUUGCGUGGUGGUUCUUGUUUCUGAAUUGGUUAUUCGAAUAGGUACUUGCCUUCGUGAAUCGGUGACACGAGAUGGAGAGGAUGAUGGGAACAGUGUCAGCAAAUCAGUGAUUAAAAAAAAACCACUGUGCGACGACGAUUGUUCCUGUAGUGGUGAAGCAAGCAUGUGCUAUGCAACUGGAGCGGUGACUUCCGAGUGAAAUCAACAGAAUUAGCAAAAAAAAAAAAAUAGUGUUCGUGCAGAAUUGUUUCCAGUAACGCUGUGACUCUCGCUGGAAAAACAGAGGUGUGAUUUUCAUUUUCUGUGGUGCUAGUUCGAUUGGUGCUGAUUCAAGUGGAAAAAUACAGGUGUGUUUUUGUUUUUCGAGUAACGUUGUUUACGGUUCUGGAAAUUUCUAGUCUGAAGGUUGAUUGGCGAUUCUAGAGCGUCGUUUAUGUAUAGAAUGAUUGAAACUCGAGCAGCGCAAAUUUUGUUCAGAAAUUGAAGUUUUAAGCACGAACGAAACAAUUCUGAAUUGAUUUUGAUUUGAUGUAAGCAUUAAGGCACCUGUUGAGGAAUUCCAUUCCGGUUGCUGAAAAUACAGAGAAUUCUGAGCAUGAGAAUGGUUGAAACAAUUACUCUCACUUCUGAGGUAGUGAGCACUGCAUUUGCGGGGCCCACGAGAGUUGAAAAUUGAAAAAAAAAAGAAUUCUGCAUAUAAUAUCAGAAUUGAUAAGAGAGAUACUUGUAAGUUGGCAAUGGAUUGCAAUCACUGUGGCUUAACCGAUAAUAUAGUAAUAUUGUGAUUUCGAUGAAUUGGAGUGGUGCACACUCCUAGACACGGCGGAUCCAUGAUUUGUUCAAAUCCUUUGAUGAAUGGAAAAUUGUGAAAGUUAAUUCCAAUUUUGGACUUUUUUUUCUCGACCUUCAUAUUUUCUUCUCUUACCGCUAUAAAUUUUUUAUUUUAAAAAAUACCUCUAUGAAAUAUUUUGGAUUAAAUAAUCUGGAUUUUUUUUUUCAAAUUGAUAAAAAGAUUUUGGAUUACAUAAUAUGGAAGCUACUCUAUUAGGGUGGUACAAGAAGAAUAAAAAAGUAUUUUUAUGUUUUGUAUGAGGGUGACAGAAGAACCUAUGGAAGUGGAGGAAGAAACAACCCCAAUUUUGUGGUUGUAGUGAAAUUUGUUUGGGCCAAGCCAUAUGUUAAUUGGGCCCAGCUCCAUUUUGGUGUGUGUUUCAUUGAAAAAAUUGAUAUUGUUGUUUUUAACUUUGUAAUCCAAUUCUAGUUUCAAUCUUUAGGUGUUUUCUUUAGUGUUUAAUUUUUCUUUGAGGGUCUAAUUUCUUGAUAGUAUCCAAAUUUUUUUUUUCAUAAUUUUUGGAUAAUCUUUAUGUCUUGUCACAAUUCCAAAUCUCUUGAGUUUAACUUUCUUAAUUUUGAGAUUUUCUUGAUUUUUAAGUACUAGUAUGUUGAUCCAACACGAGAAAUUUUACAACAUUUUAUAUAUAAAUAUUAAUAUUAUAAUUUUUUUUACAUAUAAAAAUUUACACUAAAUAUUGAGCAUAAGUUUGGAUACUUUUGCAUAUUAAAGAAUUUAACUUAACUUGUCAUAAAUUUGCAAUGUUAGUAGUCCACAAAUUAAUUAUAAUAAUUUUUUGCCAUAACAAAUACAUUAAAAUAGAAAAAAAAUAAUUUGAACAAAUUUACAACAGUUAUUUUAAUUCAACUAAUCUUUUAAUACAUAAUUUAAUGUUUGAAUAUUUUAACUAAUAUAAAUUGUAUAUCCACAUAAUGUUUAUAUGCAAUGUAUUGUUAUAUGAAACAAACAUAACACACAAAAAACAAAUUUGAAGUCAGAUAUUUAGGAAGCAUUAUGUAACAAUAUAUGUGUAAAAUAUUAUAAUACAAAACUUGUGUAAUCAAUGAAUAUUUGUCUUAAUUAAUGUGGAAAAAUCAGGUUUAAGAUUAUUCAUAUUUUUCGUGAAGGGAAUGUGUGUGCUGAUAAGUUGGCUAAUUUAGGAUUUAUUCAUAGAGAAUCAUUUAUUUAGUAUAAUAGGCUUCCAUCUAGUCUGUUCUUAUAAUUCUUUAUGAAUAGAUAUAGUCUACCUAUGUAUGGUUUUUGUUAACAUAUGAGUUUCUGUCUGGUCCCCCCAUAUUUUUGUAUUUUCUUUAAUUUCUCUUCUUUUAAUAAUACUUUUGUCAUGUGAUGACAAAUGAUUGUUCUUACUUGAGGUGUCAGCCUAGCUGAGAUGUCAAGUUGCAUAGUGAUGUCUAACAUUCAUUAUUUUCUAUAGUGAAUAUGCACUUAUGUGUUACUAAGUACAAUGAAAUUUUUGUAUUAAAACCAUUUAAAAGAAACAAAUUUAUCAAACUAAAAUUAUAGACAAUUAAAAUUAUUAAAAAUUUAUAAUUUACCUUUCUUGGUUAUCCAUUAUAGUCCCGUUGAAAGAUUUGCUAUCAGAAAUAAGAAGAAACCCGUUAUUACAAAAAAAAAAAAACAUAUAGAAAUUGUUAAAUUCAUCUUCAUAUAUUAGAACAAAGAUAUGAGAAAUAAGAAUAGUUUUGGAUUAAAGAAUUUCCAUACCGGAUAUGUAUGGCUGUAACAAUAUGUUUCAUACAUUUUCAAAUAUUUCUCUGUAAACCACAUUAGUAGUUGAAUUAUUGGUAUUUCCAUUAUCAUCCAAAAUCAAUAUUUUCAACCCUUUCUUGGAUUUCGAUCUGGAAACAACAACAUAUAGUUGUCCACGUGUAAACACUGGACGUGGUAGAUAUAGACCAACUUUAUUAAGUGUUUGACCUUGUCUUUUAUUUAUUAUCAUAACAAAGCACAUAGAUAUUGGGAAUUGUCUUCUCUGAAACUUAAAAGGCAUGCUUGAUUCAGAAGGAGUCAAGUUCAUUCUAGGAAUAAAUAUUUUAUCACCAAUAUUUUGUCAAGUAAUAACUUUGGGACCAAUAACAUUCUUCCCCAAGUGAAUUACUUAUAAUCUUGUUCCAUUGCAAAGUCCAUUGGCUUGAUCAGUAUUUCCUUAGAAGCAUUAUUGGAACUCCAACUUUUAAUUUAACACAAUGAUUAAGAAUUCCCGAGCAUUUGAUAUCAUUCAAAAAAUUUGUUGUAAACUAUCUAGCUUGAGCAUUUUCUUGUUCUUCAGAUUGGCAAGGGGUGUCUGAACUUAAAUAACUAACUUCUUAUCCGGGGAUUAAGGAUAAGAUGAACUCAUUCACUUGGUCCACACAUUUUUUAGUAGGACACAAUAUUGCACCAUCGUCAAAAAAAUUCAUCAGAGGAAAGAUUUUGCAUGUUGCAUGGAUAAAAAAAUUCAACCAAUUGCAAUAAAAGUUGUUGAACGUGUAGAAUUAAAAUGUAUUAUGGUAUUUUAAUAGUUGCAUGUCUCAACUCAUUUAAGUCCAUAUCUCCAUCUCCAAUAUGAAGUAUCCAAUUAGCAAACUCUUUUAUUUUUGUUACAGUUUGCAUUGAUUUCUCACUGCUUAAUCUCAUAUUCUCUGUAAGUUUCAAGACUUUGCAAUGUUUCCAAUAAUUCUGCGUAGUUUAAUGUUGCCUUCACAAUGUCAUAUCUUGAUCCAUUUUUUUACAAUAGGCAAUAUCUACCUAAAAUCUUCUCCCAAUACAAUGACUUCACCACCAAAAGGUUUAUGAGCGUUUUCUUGACUUUCAGCCCUCAUGACAUCCCUUAGAGUUCUAUCCAGAACUUUAAAACAAAAUCUAUUGAUCAUUGGAACUUCAUCCCAUAUAAUUAAUUUAUUUUAAAUCAACAAUAUGGCACGAAGACUUCCUUGAGGUAUGUUGCAGGUUGAUAGUUCAUUUAUUAACAAAGGAAUGCAAAAGGUAGAAUGAGUUGUUUUCCCUCCUGGAAGUGACAAAUAAGUUAUACCGCUAGAAGCUACAUUCAACACAAUCAACCUUUUUUAUCUAAUGGCAGUAGACAAAGUUUUCCAUAUAAAAAAAUUUUCUUGUGCUGCCAUAACUGUAUAAGAAAAAAAAAACGCCAACUUCUGACAGUAUUGUUAUCAUUAUAUUCUCAUAGACAUCCACUUGCUCAGCAAUUAGAGAUUGAAAAAAAAGAAAAGAAUGCAUUUCAGACAUUUUUAUUUUGUCAUAAUUUAAUUGAUCAAUAAUGAAUCUAUUCUCAUAAAUAAAGAAGAAUAUGAAUGAAUAAGUUCUGGUAGACUGCUAAAGUCUUUUAAAGACUCACCAUUUGAAAUUAAUAAGUCUUCUACUUGUAAGACAAAGAUUUUGUAUUUGAGCAUCUUCAAUUGUAAGGCCUACAAAAAAAAUUAAUGUCAUAUAAGGUAUUUAUAAACUUUGAGGAAAACAUAAAUUUAUACCUGGUAGGUUAAACUCUUUUCUUUUUUUUUAUUAUACAAUGUCAUCUAAUAGUAACUUCCAAGUUUUGUUCCACACUUCAUCAGGUUUAGACAUAGUAUUCAUGAGUAACAGUGUAACAAAUAAUCUUCUCAAUUGAAUUCUUGAAGCAAGGUUGUUGGCCUCUAUAAUGGCAUCAAUAAAUUUUUUAUCAUCUGCCAAUAGCCCCAUCGCAUAGCAAACCUCUAUAUGUUUUGUAAAUUAUACCAUUAACAGUCUUAAUGUUAUCAUAAUUACAACACCUUUUUUAUAAUUCAACAAUAUCAUGAGAUCAUAUAAUUCUCCUGACCCAGGAGGAAUAUAUGUAAGCCUUCCAAUAGUAAUACCCAUCUUCAUUGGCUUUCAUUCUCUUCAUUCUGCCAUCCAAACAAAUUGGCUAGGAUAUUCAUAAUAGGUCAAAUGUUGCCCUUCUAGAUAAAUUUUAUUAGCCUCAAACCAAGCUAAAAACAUUAUUCGUUUAUGUUCAUUUGUGUUCAAUAUUUCAUCAAUUUCUUCAUUGUCUUUAAAUAGAAUGGGUUGCUCGUAUAACAGAUGAAAAACCAACCUUUGAACUGGAUGCCAUCUAGUUGACAAUCUAAUUGACAAAGCAUGUCAAGCAACAAAUAAUGGGAAUUGAAUAACAUAAUUUUCUUACUUUAGCUGGCAUAAAUUGAGUGUGGAGCAAUAUUGAGUUAUAAAAUCAACACAUUUCAAUCACCGUUGCAGAUAACUUAAAUGUAGAACUGAUGGAAGGAAAUAUAUGAAAGAUGAGAAACUAAUUUUGUAUGUGUCAUACUUGUACUGCUAAGUAUUAGGAAAAAAAACAGGAAGUAGAAGUAUUAUUUUUUCCAAAUGCAAAGAUAAGAAUAAAAUAUUUUGAUAAGACAUUAUAAUUAUUACAAUUUUGUAGCAGAAGCAUAAGUAUGAUCAGAACAACUAUAUUACCCUGUAAAUUCAAAUAAGAAACAGUUAUUAAAAAACAAAUGAUUUACUGACGGUUGGCUUAUAACAUUGGCCAAGAAAAAAAAGUAGACCUUUGGAAAGUGUUUGACCUUGGCUUUUAUUUAUAGUCAUUGCAAAGCACAAGGAUAUUGGGAAUUGUCUUCUUUGAAACUUGAAAGACAAUUCUGAAUAUGAACUAAUCAAGUCCAUUCUAGGAAUGAAUAUUUUAUGACCAAUGUUUUUGCCUGUAAUCACUGUACCACUAAUAAUAUUCUUCCCCAACUCAUUAACUUGUAAUCUUGUGCCAUUACAUAGUCCAUUAGCUUGAUCAAUAUUUCUUAAAAGCAUUAUUGGGACACCAGUUUUGAGUUUUAGGCAAUGAUUAGGAAUCAUGAGUAUCUAAUAUUGUUUAAGAACUCCAAUGUAAACCACUCAGCUUAAAUGUCUUCAUGUUCAUCAUAUUGGCUAGGUGUGUCUGAACUUAAGAAAGUAACUUCUUCUCUAGGCAUUAAACAUAUGAUAAAUUUAUUGACUUGAUCUACACAUUUUUUUGUCGGACAAAGUAUUGCACCAUCAUAAAAAAAGUUAGCAUUUCUCAUAUUAUCCAAGAAUUUAGGAUACACAAAUUCAACUAAGCUAACUAAAGGUGAAUCAGUGUGUUCAACUAAGAUAUGUUGGGGUAUUUCAAUUAUGCCUUAACCCAUUUCAUUUAAGUUCAUAUUUCCAUCACCAAUCUUUAUUAUCCAAUCAACAAAUUCUUUUAUAUCUCCAGCACUUUCAACUGAUUCUUGACUUGUUAAUCUCAUUCUCUAGAAGUUUAAAAACUUUGCAGUAUUUUCAUAAUUGAGAAAAGUUUAUUGUUUCCUUUACAAUGUCGUAUCUUGAUCCCUUUGUGUCAACACGCAGAAUUUGCCUAAAAUCACCUCCUAAUACAACAACUUUACCAUCAAAAGAUUUGUUAUUGUCCUCUUCAUCUACAACCUUCAUAAUAAUAAUACCAUAAAAUAAUUAUAAUAAAAAUACUAUAAAAUUGUAUAUAUUAAUUUUAACCAUCAUUUUUUAGAAUGAUUUGAUAUAAUUGAAUGUGUAGAUUUUGGAACAUAUUAACUAAAUUUCACGUGUAAACAAAUCAUUACAUAUUAGUUAUAAUAAAUAAUUAAAAAAUUUAAAUAAAUAAAUUCUUAAUGUAGUAAGUGGAAGUUAUUAUUAACCAUGUUUACUGCUACAAUCAUCUUUAUUUUAAUAGUAAUGAGUUUUUAUGUUUUUUAUGUAAAGUUUGGAGAAGUAACGUUGAUUUUAAUUUGUGACUUUAUUUGAAUAUUUGUUAACAUAUUUUAAGAAAUACUUUAUUAAAUUAGACCUGGUUAAAUAAAACAAUAAUGACAAAAUCAUUUUGUUCUAAAUGAUGUGAGAUACUAAAAAUAAGUACCUCUGAUUUCCAAUUUAUUGAAAUUGACUAUGGUUAAAGAAGAUUGAUAAAUAUUUGCAAUAUUUAUAUGAAGAAAUUUGUUUUAAAAAAUGGAUUUAAAUAAUAAACAGUAAACUAUACCAAAUAAAAUAUUCUAUAAACCACACAGAUUUAAUUCUUUUCGUUUUUAUUACUAAUUAACUUUUUAAAAAAAUCAGAAAAAUAUUUAUGGCUAUAUGCAUAUCUGUUUGGAUUUGUGCAAUUACACCAUGUUUGGAAUUCUUCCCCAUUUUUACUCUAAUAAUUAUUGUUUAUUGAGUUUCUUCUCAAUUUUUAUACCAUUCUUCUUGGUGGCUUGAGAGAAGACAAUGACAUUAAAUAAGAAAAUAAUAUUAAAUAAAAAAAUUAAAUUAAAUUACAUUAAAUAAAAUUGUAGAAGAAAACACACAGAAAACUCAUACAAGGAUAUAAGGGCGUCUCUGAAGGAUGAGAACCAACUAUGUAGCAUCUACAUCGAGAAUUCAAGUAUUGUAUACGUCAUUAGUCCGAUCCUUUGUAGGAACUACCCGUAAUAACGAACUUGCAAAAUAAAUCUGUUUAUCAUAAAGGGAUUCGUUGUUCCUGUUCACGACAUGACAAUAAAUUUAAAUCACUUUGAUUUUAAAAAUUAAUAAAACAUCUAAAAUAAAUUAUUAUUAUGCUAUCAUUUUAACUCAUGCGACAACCGCGUCUUUUGAAAACAAAUUUAAUAUUUAUUAAUAAAAAUAAAUUUUAUAUUAUAAAAUCAACUAAUUUUAUGUAACAUAUUUAAAUUAUGAUAAUAAUAUCAUAAAAUAAUUUUAAUAAAAAAAAUACUAUAAAAUAUGGUAAGUAACAAUAAAUACUUAUGUAAAAAAAGGAUUAAUCCUAAAAGGCGUAUAACUCGAAUUUAAUAAUUUGGUAUGAUAACAUCUACUUCAAAAACAAUCUUACCGCCUUCUUUGAAGUCAUUUAACAUAAAAUUAUUUAAUCAUGCUUAAAAGUUUUGUUGAUUUAUUUGACGCAUUUUCUUUCACUUUUCUGUAUAAAAAUAUAACUUAUAGAAUUAUAUAUAUAUAUAUAUAAAUGUAAAUAAGAAAAUAAAAUUAAAAUUACAAUGAAAAUAUUAAUAUAUAAAAAAUAAACAUGAGCAUAUACGAAUAAGUAAUUUUAUAAAUUUUAUUUAUUUGAGAUUAUUAUUUAAGUAGGGAAUAAAAUAAUUUAGGAUUUGUAUUUUGAAUUUAUUUUUUUUUAGAUUUUUUUCUAAGAAUGACACUAAAUAAUUUAGAAUAUGGAUUUAUUUAAAAUUUUGAUUAAUUUUGACAUUUUUAUUGAUUUUCAGUUUUUAUUUAAGAAUGACAUUACAAACUUUUGAAUUUUUAUUUAUUUUGGAUUUCGAAAACUUUAAAAAAUUCAGAAAAAUAUUUAUGGCUAUAUGCAUAUCUGUUUAUAUUUGUGCAAUCACACUAUGUUUGGAAGUCUUUCCCAUUUUUACUGUAACACCCCGAAAAUACAUCUAACUAUUUAAAACGUUCUACAUACAAAAUUAGAGUUUUUCAAAACAUUCCUAAACAUGAUUAUGACAUAUAGAAAUAUAAAUAUUUACAAUAUAAGUUUCAAAGUCAACACCCUAAAGCUCUUCAGACCCUCCUACACCUGUAAUAUCAUAUGCUCGUGUACGUAGUACAGUCAAUGCAGUUCAAAUACAGCAAGAAAAGCAAGGGUAAGCUAGUGAAAAGAAAUUUCAUAUCUUAUAUAUUUUUUUUGCAAAAGGAACUAAUCAAACAAAUCAUUUAUAAACAUUUCUUUAAAUGUGGUCAUAUAAAAUUUCAAUAUCAAUUUCAUCAUUCAUAUAGACCACACAUGGAUCUAUUUUCAAUAACAAUCAUUGGAUUCCAUUUCAAUCCCACUCCAUCUUCCGGAAGACUCAUUAAGUAUGCCCCUACCAGAGACUAACACCUGAUCCAAAGAUUACCAGCGAAUCCAAUAGAAAGGAUUAGGGUAAGUUCAAACAUCCAAUACCGAGUGUCUACAGCGGGACCCGGUGUGUAUGAACUCCCUCUCAGCUUCUCACCACCUGAUAUCUUAGUCUACAUGACUUAGAUCAUCAGUGAAGCCAGAGGAUCUCCGUUAAACAUAGGCUUUUCAUACUCAAUGUGCCAUCAAACAACAACUCAUACAUUAUCCCAAAUGUAUGACAUCAAUUUCAUACAAUUCACAUCAUUCAUAUAUAAAACAUAUCAUUCAAUCACAUAACAUUUAAAAAUUCAUAUAAUUCAAGAAAGUUUCCAAUAUCAAAAACAAUAUUUAACUCUCAAACUAUCAGAAUAUAAUAUUUAUAAAGUUUAAAUAAUAUCUAAACAAACACACAAUAUAUAAACAAACAACAUCCCUGGAAGAGAAAUUGAAUAUUGGGAUCAUGUCCCCUUAAUAUUCAGAUCUCCUAAUCUAGGGUAUUAUUUAGAGUUAAAGUUAGCUUCCCUUACCUUAAUUGCUUGCUUUCCAAGUAACUUUUAUAAUUUUAUUCCCCACAAUAUGGAUAAGCUUCAAAAUUUACGGGCCUAAUGCAAGUUAUCCAAACAGAACAAAAAUUCAGUAUAUAGUAGAAUAAGUUGAGAGGAUUAAACUUCUCAACUGACCCCACCAAGAUUGAUGACUAAAUCCUAAGGAAAAAUAUAGAACAAAGGAUCUCUAGAGCAAAAAUGAACUUACUCUGUUUGAAGAUCUGAUCGGGUAGAAAUGUAGCCUGACUCCUUAUCUACAACAUGGCGUGAUCAAAUUUUGGAAUAAAUGAAGUAUGAGAGAGAAAAUGAAGAGAGAAGGGAGAUGAGAGAAGUGGGUAGAGAGAGAAAGCAUGAAAAAAGGUAAAGAGGAAAUUGAUGGGGCAGGGGGCUGUUGGUUUUUCUUUACGGGGGGUUACAAUUAUCCCCAACAACAAAAAUUUUCGUCCUCGAAAAUUAGCUUACCAAGUAAAAUUAGGAUAUGAUUAUCUUAUCUUUUCUUAUUUUAUUCUUCAAGGGGAAUCACAACAUGUGAAAGUUCAUAAUACUUUGACUAUGCCGAUGUUUCUAGCAUGAAGUUACCUUACUUGAGAAUCCAAAAUUUUAACUGACUCAACUUUAAAAGAGAGAUCUUUUAUUUAACUAAAUCAGACAAUAGAAUAUGAUUAUGACCAAUUAUAUAUAUUUCCUUAGUUACGAUACACGAAAGACAUAAUGAAUGUUGGUUAACAGAAAAGAUAAACAAGUUUAUAAACAGUAGAACCUAUUCUCUUGAGAAUCUAGUAAGAACCUAUGAACUUUGGAGUCAUCUUCUAAGAUAUGAUUGCCCUCCUUACACUAAGGAAUGACAUAACUCUCAAAAAGUCAUGAGUACUUCAUUUAUCUACAUCAGAUGUCUUCCUGAUCGAAAAUGUCUUUAACCAUCAUAGCUCUCAAAAUUUGGCUCACAAUUGUUGAUAACUGAGGUAGUGAAAAAAAUACGUUGAGUUUUUUUUUUCUUGAUUAACUUCCUCCUGGUGCAUAUCAAAUUUAUGCUUCAAUGUCUUUUUCCUUCAUCUUAAACAGACGAUCUAGGUCAACCCCUGACCUUUGAGUGUUUUGCAAUAUUUCUGCUAAAAGGUUCUUGUCCAAUUGCCUAAGAGAUUUUCAUGUGACCUAACUUAAUGAUCCAUGACUUUGUUGUAUUCUAACAUGAAUAGAGACACCUCACACCAAUCUCUUUGCAAGCAAGCUCUAAUAAAACUCAUGAUAUCCAAUCCAAGCUUAUACUAAUACAGGCAACACCAAAUUCCAAAGAAAAGGAAUCCAUAGAACCUUGAGAUAGGUAUAACUAAAUCAACAUGGAUUCUUCCCAUAUUUAUUGGGAGAACCUCUUUUACUUUCUAAUAGUCAUAUGUGGGUGUCAACAUCACUAGCUCAUUUUUUUCUUCAAUUUCAAGCGAUAAUAUUCUCAUAUUCAGAAGGACGUGCAACAUCAAUUACUAUAGACCUCUACUUAGAACUAAGAGUAAGAUCUACCACCAUCUCACUCCAUCCAAUACCAUGUGCUAAAAGAUUCAUUCCCAACCUUAUGAAAAUAUAAGAAUAACCCAGCCAAAACAAACUUCCUUAACAUUAAUUCUAGUAUCCAAUGUCACCUCUUCACCACUUUUGUCAAACUAAGAUGUCUUAGCUCACCCAAUUAUUUUCAUAACUUCAAGCAUAUAAUUCCAUUGCAUAGGUAGAAUGUGCGUAGUCUUCAUUAAUCCAUCCCAUAUUACUCAUACUUAGUCAUUUUUCUUCACUGUAUGUGACAUGUAGGUGAUAAAACCCAUGAAAAUAUUAUUUCACUCUCAUCCCGUGAAUGUCAAAACUAUGUUAACAUACUUCCUAGUCAUUAUUUGUUCGGUCCUUGAUUUUUGACAAAAUAAACAAGUAGCUACAUACUUGACUGUAUCUUCCUUCAUACCAUGUCACCAAAUAAACUUCCUUAAAUCUCAAUACCCUUGGUCAUACUUAAAUGUAAAAAGAGUUUGCUUUCAUUACUCUUAGAUAACCUAUCUGAUUUAAUUUGUCAUCCUAUGACACACAUUUUUUUUAAAUCUUAAUAUACCAUUCAUUUCCCACAUAGAACUCUUUAUUUUCAUCAGUACAUAAUAAUCUAAGAAUAAUUUUCAAAUUCGAUUUCACCAAUUUUCUUACUCUCACUUUUUCUAGAAACUUGUAGUUAUAACAAAUGUACUACAACUUCCAAAUUUAAAUUGUUGAAACUUCCACUCAACUCCAACCAUGUAAUCUUAAGUGUUGAUACUUAUGUUUCCUUGUGACUUUAACCAUUUGCAACAACAUUUUCUUUCCUAGGAUAGUAGUUCCAUUAAAAUUAAUAAUCAUUCAAAACUUCGUCUAUCUUCUCCAAAAGAAAUUAUGCAUAAUUCAUUACUCGGUCUACCACAAUCCAGAUUCCAUUAUGUACUAUUAUUGUCCGUGGAAAAGGAACCACACGUAUAACAAAAACAACUUUAUUUCUACUUAGUCACUUCCAAUAUUUGUAACAUUUUCCUAAGUCUUUGAUACUCCACUUCAGUCUUUUAUAAGUAUGACAAACAAGGACCUAUGGAGCCACUUCUUCUUUAUGUUGAACCAUCAAGAAAACUUCAAAUAUUAUCUUAGCUAUGCAUGAUGUACACUAAAUUAUGUUUACAACUUUUAUACUAGACUAUGUCAUCUAACUUCUUGUUUGCAAAUACAAACAAGUUAUCCUAAACCUCAUAAUUUCCCUUUUAAUUCCAUAAUGAAAUUCUCAAUUCACUUAGUUCUUAACNNNNNNNNNNNNNNNNNNNNNNNNNNNNNNNNNNNNNNNNNNNNNNNNNNNNNNNNNNNNNNNNNNNNNNNNNNNNNNNNNNNNNNNNNNNNNNNNNNNNAAUUUGACUCUUUAACCAUUACAUUUGACACUUGAAAUAUCUCCUUGUUCAUGCCAGUUUCAACCAAAUUUUUCUUCUCCAGAUGAUACACAAACUUGAAAUCUUACUCCCUUAAUAACUUCACCAAUAUCUUUUGUCUCAUGUCUAGUCUCUUCAGAUCAAACAAAUACUUAAGACUCUUACAAUAUUGAAUGUAUCUAAUAAACCUCUUAUAACAAUAAAUUAAAUCCACAUAAAAAUUUUGUUUCCAUGCUAGCCAUGUAACGACAUCAUUACUGGCUCUUACCGAUCAUAUUUAGAUCUAUAUGUUGUCUUAUACGCAUCUUCACUUUUUACUUAGAGUUUCGGAUACUCGAAUCUCAUGUCUACAUGGAAAACAUUGACGCUUCAUGCAACUUGAUCCAUCAUACUAUUAUCCCUCAACAAACUUGUUUAUCUUUCAAAAAUCCACACAUAAUCUAGAUUCCUCAUCCUUCUUCUUCACCAACAAUAUUGAUAUUCCUCAUAGUAGCAUACUCGACCCAACAAUCUAUUUUCUCCAAUUUAAUUUUUCAUCUUUACUACUUAGAUGAAGUCAUUUUAUAACGUGUCAUUAACGUCAAUCUUGCUCAAGCACCAGACCAAAGAAAAUUCCACUUUAAUCUUUGAAGACAACCUUAACAAUUACUCUGGAAAACUAUGUAUAAAACUCCACUUUGUUGAAGUACUACUUGUCUAACCUGUAUUAUUUAUCUCUAUUUGAAGUCGGAUUAUGAAACAAGUUAUUCUAAUCUGUGACCCGUUCCAUACUCGUUAUGCAAUUGCUCAUUCCAUAUUAUUUCAAUUUGAAGAUGUCGCAUUUUUAUUCUUCACAAUUAAAAAGAAAGUGAUCGACAUACCCCAAAGAUUAUAUCUAAAUCGUUCAAAACAAAUGUCUUAAACUCACUUAGAAUUUGAGUCUAACGAUAAUAACAACCACCUACCGUGUAUAUAUGUACAAAAACUACUACACUAAAACAAAUGUUGGUGUAAAACUAUUACCUGAAAAGAUUGCUUUAAAACUUGCAACCAAACACUUAAAUUGAUUAAAUUUAUUUCCCUAAUAUGUAUUCAAUAUCAACUUCACAUAAUAUAGAAAUAACCAUCCCAAAACAUAUACCAAAAUAAAAAAUAAAAAUAUACUCUUUACUUUUAGAAUUAAGAUAGAAAAUCAUCUUGAUUUAGUCAUUAGUGUGCACCCUCACCACUUUAUCAAGAUUAUUUUCGUUCUUAAUACUUUUAUCUUUAUUCAUAACAACUAAUUUGACUUAAGCACAAACCAAAUUUUCAAGAAAAAACUUUGUUAAACAUCCAAUUAGAAACUUUUAGCUAAGUCUUAAAGCUAAACUUAAACAAAAAUCUACACNNNNNNNNNNNNNNNNNNNNNNNNNNNNNNNNNNNNNNNNNNNNNNNNNNNNNNNNNNNNNNNNNNNNNNNNNNNNNNNNNNNNNNNNNNNNNNNNNNNNACAGCGGGACCCGGUGUGUAUGAACUCCCUCUCAGCUUCUCACCACCUGAUAUCUUAGUCUACAUGACUUAUAUCAUCAAUGAAGCCAGAGAAUCUCCGUUAAACAUAGGUUUUUCAUACUUAAUGUACCAUGAAACAACAACUCAUACAUUAUCCCAAAUGUAUGACAUCAAUUUCAUACAAUUCACAUCAUUCAUAUAUAAAACAUAUCAUUCAAUCACAUAACAUUUAAAAAUUCAUAUAAUUCAAGAACGUUUCCAAUAUCAAAAACAAUAUUUAACUCUCAAACUAUCAGAAUAUAAUAUUUAUAAAGUUUAAAUAAUAUCUAAACAAACACACAAUAUAUAAACAAACAACAUCCCUGGAAGAGAAAUUGAAUAUUGGGAUCAUGUCCCCUCAAUAUUCAGAUCUCCUAGCCUAGGGUAUUAUUGAGAGUUAAAGUUAGUUUCCCUUACCUUAAUUGCUUGCUUUCCAAGCAACUUUUAAAAUUUUAUUCCCCACAGUCUGGAUAAGCUUCAAAAUUUACGGGCCUAAUGCAAGUUAUCCAAACAGAACAAAAAUUCAGUAUAUAGUAUAAUAAGUUGAGAGGAUUAAACUUCUCAACUGACCCCACCAAGAUUGAUGACUAAAUCCUAAGGAAAAAUAUAGAACAAAGGAUCUCUAGAGCAAAAAUGAACUUACUCUGUUUGAAGAUCUGAUCGGGUAGAAAUGUAGCCUGACUCCUCAUCUACACUAUGGCGUGAUCAGAUUUUGCAAUAGAUGAGGUAUGAGAGAGAAAAUGAAGAGAGAAAGGAGAUGAGAGAAGUGGGUAGAGAGAGAAAGCAUGAAAAAAAGGUAAAGAGGAAAUUGAUGGGGCAGGGGGCUGUUGAUUUUUAUUUAGGGAGGUUACAUUUACUUUAAUAAUUAUCCUCUAUUCAGCCUCUUUUUUAUUGUUAUACCAUUUUUUUAUUGUUAUACCAUUCAUGUUCGUUAUAUUUUCAAGUUGUUUCUCUGAGUGGGCUUGAGAGAAGAGAAUGACAUUAAAUAAGACAAUAAUAUUAAAUAAGGGAAUAACAUUAAAUUACAUUAAAUAAAAUUGUAGAAGAAAUCACAUAUAAGGGCAUAAAUCAAUGACAUGAAAAUAAAUUUAAAUUCACUUUUUAAAAAAAAUAAUAAUAAAACAUCUAAAAUAAAUUAUUAUUAUUAUUAUGCUAUCAUUUGAACUCGUGCGACAACCCUGUCUUUUGAGAACAAAUUUAAUAUUUAUUAAUAAAAAUAAAUUUUAUAUUAUAAAAUAAACUAAUUUUAUAUAAAAUAUUUAAAUUAUAAUAAUAAUAUCAUAAAAUAAUUUUAAUAAAAAAUACUAUAAAAUUUGGUAAGUAACAAUAAACACUUACGUUAAAAAAUGAUUCAUCCUAAAAGGUGUGUAGCCCAAAUUUAAUAAUUUGGUAUGUUAACACCUACUUCAAAAAUAAUCUUAGUGCCUUCUUUGACAUUAUUUAACAUACAUAAAUUAUUUCGUCCCACUCUAAGUUUUUUUAUUAUUUAUUUCGCCCGAUUUCUUCACUAUUUUGUAUAAAAAUAUAAUUUAUAUAACUAUAUAUAUAUAUAUAAAUGUAAAUGUGAAUAAGAAAAUAAGAAAAUACAAAUAAAAUAUUAAUAUAUAAAAAAUAAACAUUAGCAUAUAUGAAUAAAUAAAAAAUAAACAUACUAAAAUUAAUAUAAAUAAUGCAUAAAGAUAAAUAAUACACAUAAAUAAAUAAAUUAUUAAAGUAUCAACAAACUAACACAAAUUUUGAGACGAGAAAGUAACAAUAAACAGUCAUAUAAAUAAAAGAUUCAUCCUAAAAGGGGAAUAACUUCAAUUUAAUUAUUUGGUAUGUUAACCUCUACUUGAAAAACAAUCUUAUCACUUUCUUUAAAGUCAUUUAACCUACAAAAAUUCUUCCAUCCUGCUCCAAAUUUUGUCGAUUUAAUUGGCACAUUUUCCUUUACUAUUACAUAUAAAAAUAUAAUUUAUAUGAUUAUACAUAUAUAUAUAUAUUAUGUAAUUGUAAAUGACAAAAUAAUUUUUUUUUACAAAAUACAUAAGAAAUAAUCAUUAGCAUAUGCGAAUAAAUAAAUAAAAGAUAAACAUACUAAAAUUAAUAUAAACAAUCUAUGAAAAUAAAUAAUACACAUAAAUAAAUAAUUCAAGUAUAACAAAAUGUCAAUUUUUUUUUAGGAAAGUAAGUAACAAUAAACAGUUAUAUAAAAAUGGACUCAUCCUAAAGAGUCGUAUAACCCGAAUUGUCUUCUUCAAAAAUUAUUUCAUCUUGCUCCAAGUUUUGUUAAUUUAUUUGACGCAAUUUCUUUAUUUUUUGUGUAAAAAUAUAAUUUAUAUAAUUAUAUAUAUAUAUAUAUAUAUGUAAAUAAGAAAAUAAAAUAAAAUUACAAUGCAAAUAUUAAUAUAUAAGACAUAAACAUGAGCAUAUACAAAUAAUUAAUUUUAGAAAUUUUAUUUAUUUGAGAUUAUUAUUUAAGUAGGCAAUAAAAUAAUUUAGGAUUUGUGUUUAUUUAGAAUUUUAGAAAACGCAAAAAUUUAUUAAUUUUAGAUUUUUAUCUAAGAAUGACAUUAAGAAUAUGAAUUUAUUUAGAAAUUUUUAUUAAUAUAGAAAUUUUAUUAAUUUUAGAUUUUUAUCUAAGAAUGACUUUACAAAUUUUUGGAUUUUUAUUUAUUUAGGAUUUUGAAAACUUUUAAAUUUUAUUUAUUUUAUAUUUUUAUUUAAGUAGAAAAUAAAAUAAUUUCUGAUUUUGUAUUUAUUUAGGAUUUUUUAAAACUUUGAAAUUUUAUUUAUGUGUGACACAAAAUAACUUAUAAUUUGUAUUUAUUUUGAAUUUUGGAUAUUUUUGAAAUUUUAUCUAUUUAAAAAAUUCAUUUAAAAUUAUUAUUUAUUAAUAUUUUUAAUUAUUUAAGAAUUUUAUUUAUUUAAGAUAUUUUAUUUAAGUAGGACAUUAAAUAAUUUAGGAUUUUUAUUUGUUUAAAAUUUUAAAUAAUUUAUAAAUUUUAUUUAUUAUAAAUUUUUAUUUAAGUAUGACAUUUAAUAAUUUAGGAUUUGUAAUUAUUAUUAUAUAUAUAUAUAUAAAAUGUAAAUGUAAAUGAUAAAAUAAAUAAAUAAAAUUACAAAUAUAUAAGAAAUCAUCAUUAGCAUAUGCUAAUUAAUAAAUAAAAAACAUACUAAAUUAAUAUAAAAAAUACAUGAAUAUAUAUAAUACGCAUAAAUAAAUAAUUUAAGUCUAACAAAUAGACCAAUUUUUUUAAGAAAGUAAGUAACAAUGAACAGUUGUGUACAAAAUGACUCAUCCUAAAAGUCGAAUAAUCCGAAUUUCAUUAUUUGGUAUGUUAAGCUCUACUUCGAAAACAAUCUUAUUGUCUUAUUUGAAGUCAUUUAACAUAAAGUUAUUUCAUCUCGCUCCAAGUUUUGUUGAUUUAUUUGACGCAUUUUCUUUCACUUCUUUUUGUAUAAAAUUAUAAUUUAUAUAAUUAUAUAAUUAUAUAUCUAAAUUUAAUAAGAAAAUAAAAAAAUUAUAAUGCAAAUAUUAAUAUAUAAGAAAUAAACAUGAACAUAUACAAAUAAGUAAUUUUAGAAAUUUUAUUUCUUAGAGAUUAUUAUUUAAGUAGGAAAUAAAAUAAUUUAGGAUUUGUAUUUUUUUUUAGGAUUUUAGAAAACAUAGAAAUUUAUUAAUUUUAGAUUUUUAUCUAAGAAUGGAAUUAAAUAAUUUAGGAUAUGAAUUUAUUUAGAAUUUUGUUAAUUUAGAAAUUUUAUUGAUUUUCAAUUUUUAUCUAAGAAUGAUAUUACAAAUCUUUAGAUUUUUAUUUAUUUAGGAUUUUGAAAAACAUAAAAGUGUUAUUUAUUUUGUAUUUUUUAUUUAAGUAGGAAUAAAAUGAUUUCUGAUUUUGUAUUUAUUUAGGAUUUUUAAAAGCUUUUGAAAUUUUAUUUAUGUGUGACAUAAAAUAAAUUAUGAUUUAUGUUUAUUUAGGAUUUAGAAAUUUUAUUUAUUUCAAAUUUUCAUUUAAGUAAGGCAUUAAAUAAUUUAGAAUUAUUAUUUAUUAAUAUUUUGAAUAAUUUAAGAAUUUUAUUUAUUUAAGAUAUUUUAUCUAAGUAUGACAUUAAAUAAUUUAGUAUUUGUAUGUGUUUAAAAUUUUAAAUAAAUUAUAAAUUUUAUUCAGUGUAAAUUUUUUAUUUAAGUAUGACAUUCAAUAAUUUAGGAUUUGUAUUUAUUAUAUAUAUAUAUAUAUAUAUAAAUAAAUGUAAAUGAAAAAAUAAAUAAAAAAUUACAAAUAUAUAAUAAAUAAUCAUUAGCAUAUGCAAAUAAAUAAAAAAAUUUAACAUUCUAAAUUAAUAUAAACAAUGUAUGAACAUCAAUAAUACACAUAAAUAAAUAAUUCAAGUAUAACAAACUAAAAAUUAUGAAGAAAACAAGUAACAAUAAACAAUUAUGUAAAAAGAGAUAUAUCCUAAAAUCCAAAUAGCCCUUGGUAUUUUAAUCUCUACUUCAAAUACAAUCAUAUUGUCUUAUUUGAAGUCAUUUAGCAUAAAAUUAUUUCAUUCCGCUUCAAGUUUUGUUAAUUUUCUUUCACUUCUAUGUGUAAAAAUAUAAUUUAUAUGAUUAUAUAAUUAUAUAUAUAAAUGUAAAUAUGCAAAUAAAAAAAUAAAAAUGAAAUUACAAUGAAAAUAUUAAUAUAUAAGAAAUAAACAUGAGCAUAUAUAAAUAAAUAAUUUUAGAAAUUUUAUUUCUUUGAGAUUAUUAUUUAAGUAGGAGAUGAAAUAAUUUAGGAUUUGUAUUUAUUUAGGAUUUUAGAAAACGUAGAAAUUUAUUAAUUUGGCUGAUAAAGUCAAAUUAAAGCUAGCAUCUUGGAAAGGUAAAUCUCUUAGCAUGAUGGAUCAGAUUCGGUUGGUCAAUACGGUGAUUACAGGAAUUUUAGCAUAUAACUUUAAUUUGUAUAAUUGACUUAUUUCUCUUUUUAAGCAAGUUGAGCAGUGGUGUCGAAAUUUUAUAUGGACUAGAUAUAUUUUGAAGAAAGGCAUAGCCACUGUUAAUUAGGCUACGAUUUGUUCUCCCCUCGAGAAUGGAGGUUUGAAGAUUAUUAAUCUUCACCAUGAAAAUAAUGCAUAUCUGCUUAAGCUUGCUUGAAACUUUGCUUAUAGCAACAAGUCUUGGUCUUUACUCUUGAAAGCCAGGGUUCUUAAAUCAAAAUACGAGUUUAGAAUGGUUUAUAGAUCCUCAUCUCUUUGUCCUGAAAUUAAGCAAUUUUAUUCUACUAUACUUUAUUAUACUUUUUGGACUGUUGGUACAUACUCUUUUAUUAAUUUUUGGAAUGAUAAAUGGUGUUCUACUACUUCUUUAGCACAUAUUGCAGGGUUAUCUGAAGAUAUUAACAUUCCGGAUACAGUUUAUCAGUUUUGGAUAGGUCGUGAUUGGAAUAUUCUGUUGUCUUUACAGCAUAUGCCUAAUCUUUUUAGUUAAAUAAUGGUUAGGGCGAAUCAAGAUGUUCCUAAUUGGAUUCUAGAUGAGUCUGGUCAGUUCACUCUUAAAUCGGCUAGGACUUUUUUCUUGGAACCAGGAGUUUCCUAUGGUUGGGGUAAAUUUAUUUGGUCUUCAGAUAUCCCACCUUCCAAAACUCUUGUCCUUUGGAAAGGCUUCCUACAGAUCAACAUAUUCAAAAUAAAGGUCUCCAUAUUUGUUCUAUGUGUACGCUUUGUGAAAAGCAUGAAGAAUUUAUUCAUCAUUUAUUUUUUGAAUGCCCUAAUGUUUUGUAUAUUUGGAGUUGGGUUCGACAGAUUUUUCCUACUUCUCAUUUCUCUAAUAAGGAUGAUCUUCUUUCUUUUAUUAAGAGUGAUGGUAGUCCUUUGGUUAAAUUGUUUAUGCUUGUUGUGAUAACCUUUUCUAUUUGGAUGCUAUGGUGAUGUGAGUUGAAUCAAGCAUAGACACUUUUCAAAAUAUGAAGACAACAAUAUAUAUGAAGAAUGAUGACAAUUAGGAGUUAUAAUCAAAGACAAACAAAUCGGUACAAGUGGAUGUACUUAAGGAAACAUCAUUGGAGAACAAAGCCUUCCAAAAGAUGAACCAAACUCAAGAUUGAGUGUCAUUCCACAUUGAACCGAAAACAACAUAAGGAAUUGAAACACAAUUACCUAAUCAAAUUAAGCUACAAGUGAAGAAUUGAAAAGGAAAACACAAGAUGAACAAGAACAACCGAAUGAAAUGAAAGAACACAACAUAAGAACACGAACUACCGAUUGAAAUUACAAAGACAUGAAUAGGAAACGAAAAUGGAGAUGAAAAUGAAAAGGCACAAAUUGAAAUACAAGAGUUCAAAUUCGGCGCCAACUUCAAGUCACAUGAGAAGUGUGACUUGCUUUCCUACUUUGGCACCUCCUAAAACUACAUCUACACCUACUCUUUAUGUCACAUGGAAUGUGUGACUUGUUUUGUACAAUAGCACCCCUUAUUUAAUAUCUACACCUUUCUUUAAAGCUAUACUAAAAACUACACUAAAGAAAUUACAAAUAGAGACAUCCAAUGAUGCUCAUCUCCUAAAGCCUUGGCCUUGCUCCUCAUGGCUUGGGCUUGGGCUUCUUGGGCUUGGGCCUUAUCUUUUGAAAAGAAUAAUAAGAAGAACUUUAGAUGUUUUGACCCUUGUCCAUUCCUCCUAUUAAUGAGGUCUUUAUUUGCUUGUUGAGAUGACCCUUCAAUUGUAGCAUCCUUGGUCAUCUUCAUGUAUUUUUUAUUCUCAUCAUAUGGUGUAUGAGGAAUUAUCCUUGUUUUCAUGAUAAGAUUGAGGUUUCCAGGGCUAUUUUAGUUAUUAAAGAUUUAACUUGUUAGGUGGAAAAUUCGUCUAAUGCUUCAAUAAAGAAUGAUAUGAUGGAUUUCAGUGUGAUUAAGUUUUUUGGUAUUAAUACUCAUACUGGUAAAGUUCUUUGUCCUCUUCUUGUUAGAUGGGAGUUUCCUUCACCAGGCUGGGUUAAAAUUAACACUGACAGGGCUGCUAGGGGUUAUCUAGGUCUUGCCACUUGUGGAGGUAUUUUCCGUGGGAGUAUGAGGGAGUUUGUUGAAGCUUUUUCUGCGUUUCUUGAUGUUCAGACUGCUUUGGUUGCUGAAUUUUAUGGAGUUAUAUAUGCUUU